UUAGGAUCCAAUUUUUGUGGUUGUACAUGUUGUGGAGUUACACAGGUGAUGUAUUCAUAUAUGAACAUAGGAAAGUUAUGUUUGAUUCAUUCUACUGUCUUUCCUAUUCUCCUCCCUUCCCUUCAUUCCCUUUUGUCUACCCACUGAACUUUUAUUCUUCCCUCCUCCCCCUUAUUGUUAGCAUCUGUGUGUCAGAGAGAACAUUUGGCCUUUGUUUUUUUUUGGGGGGGGGAAUUGACUUAUUUCACUUAGUAUGAUAUUCUCCAGUUCCAUCAAUAUAUCAUCAAAUGCCAUAAUUUCAUUCUUCUUCAGGAUAAGUAAUAUUUCAUCAUGUAGCUAUACCACAUUUUUUUCAUCCAUUCAUCUGUUGAAGGGCACACAGGUUGGGUUCAUAGUUUAGCCGUUAUAAAUUGAGCUGCUAUGACAUUGAUAUGGCUAUGUCAUUGUAGUAUGCUGAUUUUAAGUCCUUUGGGUAUAAACCAAGGAGUAGAAUAGCUGGAAACCAACCAAAUGGUGAUUCCAUUCCAAGUUUUCUGGGGAAUCUCCAUACUGCUUUCCAGAGUGGGUGCACCAAUUUGCAACCCCACCAGCAAUGUAUGAGUUAUCUUUUUCCCACAUCCUCGCCAAUACUUAUUAUUGUUUGUAUUCUUGAUAAUUGCCAUUCUGACUGGAUUGAGAUGGAAUAUCAGUGUUUUAAUUUGCUUUCUCUAAUUGCUAGAGAGGUUGAACAUUUUUUUCAUAUAUUUAUUGACCAUUCAUAUUUCUUCUACAAAGUAUCUUUUAAGUUCCUUUGCCCAUUUACUGAUUGGAUUAUUUGGUUUUCUGGUGUUAAGUGUUUUGAGUUCUUUAUAUAUCCUAUAGAUUAAUACUCUCUGUGACGUCUAGGUAGUUUUUUUGUUUGUUUGUUUUAGGGCAGAAGUUGGCAAACCAUGGAGCCCAGGGACCCAUCUGGCCCACAGUCUGCUUUUGCAGGGCAUAGCCACACACUAUCCUUUAUAUAUGGUCUCCUUGCAGCUCUGUGGAGUUAGGGAACUAUGACAGAAACUGUAAAGCCUAAAAUACUUGCUCUAGACCUUUACAGAAAAGUUAGCUCACCUUUCUAGAGCAGACCCCUACAUUUGCCAAUCUCCUGUUCCCUUUAUCUUGGGUUUUUUAACACUGGACUUUCCUAUGUGUGUCAAUCUGCUUUUCCCCACCCUACUUCAUCUCAGCAAGACAAGCUGUGUCUAGACAGGCAUGUCUUGCUGUUUUGCCAGUAGGUACCAGGCAGGGCUUUCCCUGGGGUGCUGACUACCAGCCGCUGGUUGACUGCCUUCAGCUCCACAGAAAGCCACUGUACAUUUUGCUGCUCAAUUGCCAGUGUCCAGCCAGUACCAAGUUAUGUGGUUCUGGGUUUCAAGAGAGGAUUUUCUAUUCUCAUUCAUAGUUUCUCUGUUACAAAUAUGACUUUUGUGUGUCUGUUACUUUCUAAGGCAACACAACAUAAUAUUUGAGAGCAUGGAUUCUGAUGCCAGAUCAUCUAGUUUAAAUAUCAGGUCUGCCACUUACUCACAGCGUGAAUUUGGAUUCAUUAUUUUUUUUUUCCUUUUGCCAGUUUCUUAUCAUCUGUAAAAAUCACGAGGAUUAUGUUAUCACCUUUGUCACCGAGGUUGAGAAAGAGACAAUUAGUGCUCCCUGGCAUAUCCAUGAGCUAGCAUUUCUUAGACCCUCUCCUGUGAUGAGUUCUGGCCAGUUCACCAAGGGUGGCAGUGUCUGUGUCAUUAUUAGGCUCAGGGGGUCAAGCUGGUUUGCUUUCUGCCACAGUGCCCUGGGGUGGCAUCCCAGCAUGGAGAGAGCCUGAACCCUGAGUUAUAAGGUGGAGGAGAUCACUACUUACCUGAGUCAAACUUCCAAUAAACAAGAAAUAAACUUGUAUUGGGGUAACUUAGUUACUGAGAUUUUGGAAUUUUAAAUCUAUUUUUCUCAUAAUGUAGUGUAUGCUAUUCUACUAUAGCAUUGUUCUAAAAACCGAUUUGUACAUACAGGCAUAUUAAGUGCUAUAAAAUAAUAUUUGCCUUACUUCUCUUAUGAUCAUAGGUUGAAUAUUCCUUAUCUGAAAUGAUUUGGAAACAUUUUGAAUUUAGAUUAUUUUAAACUUUGGAAUAUUUGCAUAAAUAUAAUUAGGUAUCUUGAGAAGGGGACCCAAUCAAAACAUAAAAUUCAUUCAUGGCUCAUUUGUAUUUUAUACACAGAGCCUGAAGGUAAUUUUAUUUAUAAUAGUUUUGAACAUGAAACAAUGUUUUAUAAUAGGGAAUUUCCCACUUGUGACACCAUGUCAGCAUUCAAAACUCUUGGAUUUUGGAGCAUUUUAGAUUUUUGGAUUUUGGGGUUAGGGUUGCUCAAUCUGUAUUAAAAGGACCAUAAUUGUUACAAUGUUUUUCACUCACACCUCCAUCACUAUUACUCAUGAGGAACCGACUUCGUAGCAUGCAUUUACUACACACACACACACACACACACAUCAGAUUGUUUUAGGUAAGUUAUGGUUUCCAAAUAGUUCUAGAAAUCUGAGAUGGGGAGACAGAAGAAACAAUUCUGUUUAUCUCAGAAGAAAACACACACAAAUCAAAUUCUGCUUAGACAGACUGUGUCUCUGAUCAAGGGACACGUUCUGCUUCAUGAGGGAGAGCUGGGUGGACCACCAUUUUGUUUCCUCAGUGCACUUCCGUGUACCCUGACAUUGAUAGAAAGUUUUCCUAGAUCCUGCAGCGUGGGGUAGUAUUAUCACUUUCAUCUGUUUCUUGGUCUCUAUUGGUUCUUUUUUUUUUUGGAAAUAUGAAUUUAUUACAACAUAAUUGACACAUUAGGCAACAAUUUGAAUUUUACGUUUUCUUAUGCACAAUUUUUGUCUGUGCAAAACACUAGGUGAAUGCAGAAAGCUGCACCCAGCUGAAAUGAGUCAUGUAAUAAUAUACCAAAAGCACACAGCCACACAUCUCAAACAUCUACCAACUAACUACUUCAGUUAGCCACCUAUGUUAUAAACAAGACCCACCCUUAUCCACCCAAUUUAAGAUAACCUUCUGUCCACCAUUUCCCAUGAAUCCAUGAGCUACAACUUUUCUGAUACCCAGUUCUACUAGCAAACUUCAGGUCUAUUUCAAAGUAAAUAAAGUACCUUAUUUGUUGUAAUAUCUGUGCAUUUACUAACCAUGUAAUCCAUGUAAAACAGUGCUGCCAUUUUUCUUAGGUUUAUGUGUGUCACUAAUAAAGUUUUCAAGUGUUGUGCUAUCUCUCUGCAAUUUUUUUCACUGUGGUUUUUCUUCUGCAAUAUUUUAAAUAGUAUGAUGCUUUUUUAUUAUUAAUUUUUUAUUUUUAAGUCUAUAUUCAAACAAAUAAGAAAUCUGCACUGUCUCAAUGUAAAUAUUUCAUUGAAAUGAUUGAGAAAUUCCUUUAAUCU
rnacentral:lncRNA from 1 species